rnacentral:rRNA from 1 species
UACAGAGGGUGCGAGCGUUGUCCGGAAUCACUGGGCGUAAAGGGCGCGUAGGUGGCGCCCCAAGUCCGUGGUGAAAGCUCGAUGCUUAACAUCGAGUCGGCCACGGAGACUGGGGGGCUCGAGCACUGUAGGGGCAGAUGGAAUUCCGGGUGUAGCGGUGGAAUGCGUAGAGAUCCGGAAGAACACCGGUGGCGAAGGCGGUCUGCUGGGCAGUUGCUGACACUGAGGCGCGACAGCGUGGGGAGCAAACAGG